UACGUAGGAGGCAAGCGUUGUCCGGAAUUACUGGGCGUAAAGCGCGUGUAGGUGGUGGGACAAGUCUGCUGUGAAAGCGCCUGGCUUAACCGGGCGAGGUCGGCGGAAACUGUCCGACUCGAGGACGGUAGAGGGGGGUGGAAUUCCGGGUGUAGCGGUGGAAUGCGUAGAGAUCCGGAAGAACACCGGUGGCGAAGGCGGCCUGCUGGGCAGUGCUGACACUGAGGCGCGACAGCGUGGGGAGCAAACAGG
rnacentral:rRNA from 1 species